rnacentral:rRNA from 1 species
GCCUGCAGCCACGGCCCCUUGGGCAGUGAUCUUAUCAGACCUCCUGAACAGAGCAGGGUUGGGCCUGUUUGUUCCUUCCCUGGAAGACCUCCGAGGAGGAGAACCUGGGUGUUGCAAGAC